GUGCAGAGGAGUUGAGUACCGUUUAGCGAUAUUUACCAGUUCUAAAUAUCGAACACACCCUGCCAUUAUGAUUAAUCACCUUGUUGGUUAAACUAUAACAACCAGUACUUUUAAAAUAAAUCAUGAUGUAAACCAUUUUUUUUUUCAUUUUCUUUAUUUUUCUUUUCUUUUGUCAGCCUGCAAUAGGAGGCAACUGCCUACAUG
rnacentral:lncRNA from 1 species